rnacentral:rRNA from 1 species
CCAGACUCCUACGGGAGGCAGCAGUGGGGAAUAUUGCACAAUGGGGGAAACCCUGAUGCAGCGACGCCGCGUGAGUGAAGAAGUAUCUCGGUACGUAAAGCUCUAUCAGCAGGGAAGAAAAUGACGGUACCUGAUUAAGAAGCCCCGGCUAACUACGUGCCAGCAGCCGCGGUAAUACGUAGGGGGCAAGCGUUAUCCGGAUUUACUGGGUGUAAAGGGAGCGUAGACGGUUAUGCAAGUCUGAAGUGAAAGCCCGGGGCUCAACCGUGGGACUGCUUUGGAAACUGUAAAACUGGAGUGCAGGAGAGGUAAGCGGAAUUCCUGGUGUAGCGGUGAAAUGCGUAGAUAUUAGGAGGAACACCAGUGGCGAAGGCGGCUUACUGGACUGUAACUGACGUUGAGGCUCGAAGGCGUGGGGAGCAAACAGGAUUAGAUACCCCAGUA